CGGGCAGCCCUGACCCUGCUGGAGUGCGGGGGGGACCUCCAGCCCUCUGGGCGGUCCCUGCGCCUCCUCUGCCGAGGGUCCGGGUUCAGUUUUGGGGAUUAUGGAAUGUACUGGAUCCGCCAGAGACCCGGGCAGGGGCUGGAAUACGUCGCAGGCAUCUACUACAAUGGUGCCAACACCUACUACGCGCCAUCAGUCAAGGGCCAGUUCACGAUCUCCAGGGACAACGGGCAGAGCUCGGUGACGCUGACCAUGAACAGCCUCAAGGACGAGGAUUCCGGAUCCUCUUUCUGUGCCAAGGUGGAAUCCUCGUCCUUGAGGUUGGUCAUGGUCAGCAUCACUGAGCUCGGCCCGUUGUACCUGGAGAUCCUGAACCGGCCCUUGACCGAUGGCGCGUUUGAUUUUGACAAAUUUGACCUGUUCUGGAUCCGGCAGAGACCCGGGAAGGGGCUGGAAUUCAUCGCCAGCAUCUAG